CGGCGAUUCAUCGUAGAUAUAUAUAUGAGUUCACUUCAGGCGCCGGAGGUGGUGGAGGAGCAGUCGCAGCAGUCGGCGGCGGGCUGCUGCUCCACCUCGCGCCUGUGGAAGCUGCGGUGGCACCCGCAGGCGGCGCACGCGAGCGCCGCCGCCGUGCCGUCCGCGCCCGCCGCCAUGAACUCGCGGCACCCGUCCACGGCGUGCCCGCCCAGGGACGCCGCGUGGUUGCGCUGGCACUCGCGGUACCGCACCACCUUCGCGCCCCCCUCCUCCUCCUGCUUGCUCCGCGCCGCCGCGCCGCCGUUCGACCGCCGGCCUUGCUGAGGCCCCAUGACGUGUAGAGAUAUAUAAAUUUAUCUACUGGCGCGCGCCGAGCGAUCGAUCGAUCGAGCGAGCGAGCGAGCUGGAAGAAGAUCAGAGCGUACUUAUGUAGGAA
rnacentral:misc_RNA from 1 species